UACAGAGGGUGCAAGCGUUGCUCGGAUUUACUGGGCGUAAAGCGUACGCAGACGGUGAGAAAGGUCGGAUGUGAAAGCCCCGGGCUCAACCCGGGAACUGCAUCCGAAACCAUCUCGCUCGAGUGUGGGAGAGGGAAGCGGAAUUCCUGGUGUAGAGGUGAAAUUCGUAGAUAUCAGGAGGAACACCGGCGGCGAAGGCGGCUUCCUGGCCCAUUACUGACGUCAGGUACGUAAAGCGUGGGUAAGCCAAACAGGG
rnacentral:rRNA from 1 species